GGGAAAGGAGAGGGAACUCGGAUGUCACUCAGGCUCAGGGCCUCCGGAGCAGCUGUGUCCCCCUUGCUCAUCCCAGAGAGACCAGGGUCCGGGACGCUAUGCUCAACAUCCUUUCCCACCUUCCGGAGGGCCGGGGUCCUACCCACCACCUGCGGGCUAGUCAUGCCCAAGAAGGUGUGAAAAGAAAAGCAAAGUUUGACGUAAUGGAGAAAAACAAGCCACUGUUUUGGGACCGUGCUGGUGGGGAGGGGAGGGUUUGUUUUUUCUACUGACUUUUGAAGGUAGAGGAAGGUUUAGAGGCCGAUUAGGGGGCCAGGGGAAACGAAGGUUUGGGGGGUAAUGGACAAAAGAAGAAAGACCAGGGGGCCGAGAAAGAAUGAGAGGAGACAAUAGAAGAGCGUCAAUCCAGCCAAGUGGAUUCCCAAAAGUCAAGCUUUUGCUGUCAACCUAGUCUGUUUCCCUCUUCCCCCUCACCCCACACACAGGUUUCCGUGGUCUAGGAUGUCCUCCGCAGACCGUGCAGAAGCAGCAUUAGGAGAAAGCGGAUGAAGAGUAAAGCCCUUGCCAGACAGUUCCUUAAACCUCUCGGGGCAAGCGCACACUGAGGGGAGGAGAGGGAGCAGCAAGGGCUGGUUUUGACCAACAGGUACACUCCAGGCUGCCUGCAUCUUGCUGGCUACUGGUGCAGCAGAGCUGGGCUGUCUGCUGUUUUCCUGGGACCCGCUAGGAGGCCCUGAGGGCACCCAACCUGUGAAAGACAGUGGACAGAGAGAACCUUCUUUGUCAUGGUGCCAGAAAGCUCCAGCAAUCUUGGCAGCACCAGUCAAAGACACCCACUGCUGGGUGUGAGGUGAAGGCUACCACAGCAGUGGCUCAUGUCUGUCUCCGGAGGACAGCCUCUCCGGUGUGACGUACAGAACAGCAUCGCCAGGGCGGUCUAAGCUGCUGCUUUUCAUAUAACAGGAGAGAAGAUUCAGCCUCACUGGUCCCUGAAGUCCUGUGAGGAGACCGAGGAGGAAUCCGGGUGCUGCUGACAAUGCGAGGCAGCCUUAGGGGUCCACUGACUGCCUCGACCAGCAAGGGGACAGGCUAAUUCAGAAGGGGACAAGCAUGCCACGGCCUCACUUAUAACAAUUUACUUCUGCAAAAGCCGAUCCUGCCCCAGAAGACUUAACUGGCCCUCACAAGGCUACCUUCCCGGAACCCUUUCCAGGCUGCCCCAUCCCAAUCACUGCCCACCGGCCCUGUCGGUCACUGGGGGCCAAGCUUCCAGCACAGGGACCUUCUGAGGACAAAGGACCAUUUCAGCACCUUAAGUCAUAGCUUACUCAUCUCCGGGGCUGCAUUUACUGGAUUAUGUUAUGACUUUCCAUUCAGAAUCGAUCUACUCCAAGGCGCAUUAGAAGAGUUCAUUAGCAUCUUUGGCUCCUUCCCUCUGCGUCUCAAGAUUAUUACUGCUUCCCCCCUACCUCCCAGACAGGAUCACACUAUGUGGCCCUAAUGUUCCGGAACUCUCUAUGUAAACCAGUGUGGCCCCAAACUCACAGACAUCCUCCUGCCUCUACCUUCAUUCCUUCCUCGGCUCUACAGAAACACCCAGCAAGUACCACACCCAGAACAGCUCAAAGGGCCUCAGUCCUGAGGUGAUUAAGUGAUCAGAGACGUGAAAAAGUCAGAAAACAGCAGAUAGGGAGGGAGGUAGACAGACAGCAGACAGACAGACAGCAGACAGACGUGGGGCAGGGGGAGGAAGAGAGAAAAGAAGACAUACUGAUUUUCCUUUUCCUUCCACAGGGUCCACCUUCCAAGUGGUGGGAUUAGAGCUGUGCCCACUGUACCACCAUUGAUAUUUUUAAAUGACUUGAGGAUUUAAACAUGCCUGUAAUGUGUUUCCAUAAAACCCACUCUCUAAUUUCUUCCCCUCUAAUUUCUCCCUUAUCCAACCCCAUAAUUUUCUUUCAGUUUCAUGUGAUUUUUUCGAUUAUUUUCUUGUUUUUUUUAUUGCCCUGUAUUGUCUGCAUGUAUGUAUGUGCACCAAGUGAUACCCUGUGCCCUAUUGACCAGAAGAGGGUGUCAGAUCCCUGAAGUUCCAGGCUGUUGUAAGUUGCCAUGUGGAUGCUGGGAACCAAGCUCUGUGACAGUGGCAAGUGCUUGUCACCCUGAGCCAUCGUUCUAAUCCUGGUCUAUAUUACUUUUUAAAUCGUUUUAGUUGUGCUGGCAAGAUGGCUCAGCAGGCGAAAACACUUGCCUUGUAAGCCCAGAGACCUGAGUUCUUCAUGUGCAGCUAGAGGGAGAGAACUGACCUCACAGAAUUGUCCUCUGGCCUUUAUACCUGCACCGUGACACAAGUGCCCACCUGUUCACAUCGCACACACAUGUAAGCAAUCAUUGGUACUACUGUCUUAAUUGAGAUGUAAUAGAGAUAUAAUGAGCUGUACGUGUUUAUAAUACACAUUUGAUCUUUUUUACUCUUUGGAGAGCGUCUCACUAUGGAACCCAGGGUGGUCUUGAACUCAUAAUUCUCCUGAGACAGCCUCUUAGGUGCUGGCUUUGCAGGUGUGCCAACUUUGUUGGUUUGUUUUGGAGGCAUGAUCUCUCUUCAUAGUUUAUCUGUCCUGAAUGGAACUCACUCUAUGUAGAGUAGGCUGGCCUCAAACUCACCUCCAUUAAGACAAUCCCCCAAAGACUUACCCCAGCCCAACCUAAAUCUAGAAAAAUCCUCAUUGAGACUCACUCCCAAGGGAUUCUGGGCUGUCAAGCUGACAAUUAAAACCAACCAUCACAAAGCCGAAUGUGAAACGUUACAUUGUAGCUCAGCUCAACAAAUUGAGUUAAGAUAAUCACGUGCAGUGACCACAAGACCAGAGAAACCACUGGAUCCUCUAGAAGUGGAGUUACAGAUGGUUGUGAAGUGUCACGUGGGACCUGGGAAUUAAACCUGGGUCCUCUGAAGGAGCAUCAAGUGCUCUUAAUCACCAAGCCGUCUCUCCAGCCCUAAGAAAAGUAAGUGAUAGAAUACAGUGCCCUACUCAAAUGGGCAGUCUUCAGAAAAGCAACUCACUCUGCAGAGGUACCACUUAAGAUGACAGAGAGAGGUGAACGUCUUUGAACCCUGACAAGUGGCCCAUGAGACCCAGUAACUCCCUGUUGACUGUUACAGGAGAAGGGGGCUUCCUCUUAGUCACAUGAUCCCACUCUAGGCUUGCCCUCUGCCUGUCUUCUAGUAUAAUUCAAUAAGUUCUUUGUCUUUUCCUGCCCUGGGUAAGUCCUUUUUAUACAAUGCACACCAUCAGCUUCCAGACAGAUGCAAGUUUUCUAAAUCUAUUUCUAAACUCCUUUCCUCUCUCUCCUACCCUCACAUCUGGGCAUUAGGUCAAAUUUAGGUCACUCUCAUUAGAUUUUUUCAUUUCUGUGAUUUUUAUGAAACUAGAAUCCUUUCUGCAGUGUGUGCCUUUCUGCAGUGUGUGGUAUUCUUUUGGAGUUCGAGGCUUGCUAUGUUGUUGGUCUUGAAAUCCUGCUUCAGCCUUUCAACUUCUUACAGCUAUAUUCUGAUACACAUCCAGAGCCUGUGAUUGGACCUGGAACCGCCUGCCUCUUGGGGCCGCCUGCCUGUCUCUGCCUCCCUCGCUGUUGUCUCAGCUGUUUACGUGGGUGCCGGGUGUCCAGACUCAGGUUCUUUUUUUUUUUUUUUUGGUUCUUUUUUUCGGAGCUGGGGACCGAACCCAGGGCCUUGCGCUUCCUAGGUAAGCGCUCUACCACUGAGCUAAAUCCCCAGCCCCCAGACUCAGGUUCUUAUUGGUUGUACAGCAAAUGUUUUACCAGUGAGCCGGCUCCCCAGUCUCUUCCUUAAAACUUUUUAAAUUUAAAUUUACUAUUGCUAACUUAUGUGUGUGCGUGUAAGCACUCCUGGAGGACAGAGGGCGACUUUCAGAAGUUGUUUUCUCCGUCCACUACGGGUUCUGGGGACUGUCCUCAGGUUAUCUGGCUCUCAUGGUCUGUACUUUACCUAAUAAGGUGUGGCGGCACACACAAACACUUGUGCAUACACAAACACGAAUACACAAACUGUGAUUAUAAAACCCACAUGACCCUGUCAGUUUCCUACUUAAAACUCUUCAGUAGCAAAUCAGGGUCCUUCAGACAGAACACAUUGUUUCCACACAGGCUCGGCUCUGGACUCAGCGUGGCCGGGCUCUUGCUUCUUCUUCAGCUUGUCUUUCACCAGUCCUGUCUUCUGUGAUCUGGCCACACUACCUGGUUUUCACGCUGAUCUCUCUAAGAGCUAUGGCAUGAGUGAUGCACCCCCCCCACCCCGAUCUUCUUCACUUAUUUAGUGGCUAUGCACUCCUCAAAUUUCAUCUCAGGCAUCGUUUUCCCCCAGGAAACCUUCCCUGACCGAGGAGAAGGCAGUAGGCGCUCAUCUAUGUGCUUCCUAGCAUCACAGACUGUGUACAGGGUGGCGCUAACCACUGCACUAUGAUUACAGUGGCUUUUCUAGGCUGCUGGUUUCGAAGUGGUGGGGGACUCUGCCCACCUCGUCGCAGUUGUUUCUCCAGCGCCUACGAUGGAGCCUGACACAGUGGGCAUUCAUUGAGUAUUUGCUACAUUAAUGUAAGAAAAGAGUGUUUGCUAAGUGAAUACAGAUGCGCCCUGCUGUCCUGACAGUG